AGGGCACCACCAGGAGUGGAGCCUGCGGCUUAAUUUGACUCAACAUGGGGAAACUUACCCGGCCUGGACACUGGAAGGAUUGACAGAUUGAGAGCUCUUUCUUGAUUCAGUGGGUGGUGGUGCAUGGCCGUUCUUAGUUGGUGGAGCGAUUUGUCUGGUUAAUUCCGAUAACGAACGAGACUCUAGCCUAUUAAAUAGGCUCUCGGCUUUUAAACGCCGGGAGGACUUCUUAGAGGGACAGGUGGCGGUUCAGCCGCACGAAAGAGAGCAAUAACAGGUCUGUGAUGCCCUUUGUUGUCCGGGGCCGCACGCGCGCUACACUGAAGAGAUCAGCGUGCUUUACGUUCCUGCUCCGACCGGAGUGGGGAACCCAGUGAACCUUCUUCGUGAUUGGGAUAGAAGAUUGUAAUUAUUCUUCUUGAACGAGGAAUUCCCAGUAAAUGCGAGUCAUAAGCUCGCGUUGAUUACGUCCCUGCCCUUUGUACACACCGCCCGUCGCUACUACCGAUUGAACGAUUU
rnacentral:rRNA from 1 species